rnacentral:rRNA from 1 species
GAUGAACGCUGGCGGCGUGCCUAAUACAUGCAAGUCGAGCGGACGGACGCGAAUCUUGCGUCUCUCACGUUAGCCGCGGGCGUGUGUGUCACACGUGUAUCCCCCCCCUAUCUUUCUGGUAUCUCUUCGAAACUCCGGCGAUUAUCCCAGAUGAUCUCUUGCUCCGUAUUGUUCAAUGGUGAGUGACGGUCUUGCUGUCUGUUAUCGCUGGUUCCCCGCUGCAUUGGCUAGUUGUUAAGGUAACGGCUUACCAAGGCAACGCUGCAUAGCCGACCUGAGAGGGUGGUCGGCCACACUGGAACUGAGACACGGUCCAGACUCCUACGGGAGGCAGCAGUAGGGAAUCGUGCGCAAUGGGCGAAAGCCUGACGGAGCAACGCCGCGGGAGGGAGGAAGGUCUUCGGAUCGGAAAACUCUGUUAUUAGGGAAGAACAUAUGUGUAAGUAACAGGGCACAUCUGGACGGGACCUAAGCAGAAAGCCACGGCUAACUACGUG